rnacentral:misc_RNA from 1 species
AAGAAGGGAAGAAUUCUCAGGGACGAAGGGAGAAGAAUUUAGAGAAAGGAAGAAAAGGAAGAAGAAGAAGAAGAAGGAAGGAAGCUCGUUGGCAUCUGCAAAACACUGCUUCAUUAGAUGCUGAGACGUUUCAGCUAUGCAUCUAUUAUCCCUGAACAGAAGGCCAAUUCUACAACACUGCUUACUAAAGCAACACUAACCUUCUUAGUAGCUUAUCCCCUCCAUCUGUGACCUGUUUGGUAACCAUUCCCUUGAAACCUUGUCUGUUUGUUACCUGUUAAACAUUGAUGGGUGCCUUCUCUCUUCCGGUUUCCAUCAUUUGAGGUUCCCCAACCAUCACCCACUUGUCCAAGUUCCAAUCCUUUAGGCUCUCUGUAGUGAUUGUCCCACCGUUUGCAACCUUUCCAUUGUCUAUCUUUCCGACUUCCACUGCCCUGAGUAAAGUUGCUUCUCCAAGAACUCCCUGGCUGCUGCAGAUUAUUAUCCCAAUAAUGAUAGCCUUGUAUUUUCUCCUUCACCUGCACAACGCCUUGACUGCUGCGCUUCCAAGGACCACUAUCCCAGUCCUUUGACCGAUUGACUUGGUUUCUACCAUGGCUCCAUCCCCAUACUUUAUCACUGCAAUCUCCCCACGUGUUGCCUUUCACAUCUUCAUUUCCCUGAGAAAAGUUGCACUCCCAGGGGUUAUCAUCAUUCUUUACAUUGUUAUUAUCCCAAUCCAUCUGCUGUUUGAUAUGGUUUACAUUAUUCCAUCCCCAUAAUUUAUUAUCACCAUCUCCCCAUGUGUCGCUCUUUUCACCUUCAUUUCCCCGUGCAGAGCAAUGGUCCCAUGGGUUAUCACCAUUAUUUAAAUUAGUUGAAUUAUCUGUACUCGUAUGCCACUGGUUCCAGCACUGUCCUUCAUCUUUCAAAGCUACACUACUUUGCAUAUUAUAGUUACAUUCCGAAGAAGUUCUAAUUUCACCAGAAUUCCUGUUCCAUGCUUCUGAAGGAACAGCCACAGAGUUUCUAAACUUUUUGCUUUUGUAAUCUAGUUUGCCAUCUUUUUCACCUUCUUCAGGGGCAAAAAAUGAACACUCCAAGUCCUUUAUCAAUUCAGGAUCAAUAUCAGGAUUCCAGUUUAUCUUGUCAAUGUACUUAUCUGGAUUGGGGAGAGAGAUUUCAGAAGUAAGGCCAUUGAUCUCUGCCCAAAAUCGCUUUUUUGCAUUUUGAAAUGCCUCUUCUCCAGCUGAAUCAUCCCAGUUGAGUACACUACCAUGGCAGUACAUAAACUUCUUAACAUUUACUACCUUCUUCCAUGGUACUGAUCCGAUCAAAGAACAGAACUUCUUCUCCCAUGAAGGCACACCAUCUUCAGCAAACUCAGGAUUAGGAGUAGGUUCUUCCGGGUCGUAGUAAGAUGAUGCCGGAUCUAUAUAUUGUUCGUAGAAAAAUCUACGCGGUCGACGGUUUCUCCAAUUGCCCAUUUUACAUCAGAAUCCCACAACCUUCUCAAUUAAAUCUCACUCACUCCCAUGUUAAAAGCUUGAUUCUUGAGAGAGGGAAUUUCAACGUAAGGGAGAAACGCCGAUAGAUAAACUGAAGGGCU